rnacentral:rRNA from 1 species
UACGUAGGGUGCAAGCGUUAUUCGGAAUUAUUGGGCGUAAAGGGCGCGUAGGCGGCUUGGCAAGUGGAAGGUGAAAUCCCUCGGCUUAACCGAGGAACUGCCCUCCAAACUGCUUCGCUUGAGACCGGGAGAGGUGAGUGGAAUUCCCAGUGUAGCGGUGAAAUGCGUAGAUAUUGGGAGGAACACCAGUGGCGAAGGCGGCUCACUGGACCGGUACUGACGCUGAUGCGCGAAAGCGUGGGGAGCAAACGGG